rnacentral:rRNA from 1 species
UACAGAGGGCGCAAGCGUUGUUCGGAUUUAUUGGGCGUAAAGGGUGCGUAGGCGGCGCGGUAAGUCGGGUGUGAAAUCUUGGAGCUUAACUCCGAAACUGCAUUCGAUACUGCCGUGCUUGAGGACUGGAGAGGAGACUGGAAUUUACGGUGUAGCGGUGAAAUGCGUAGAUAUCGUAAGGAAGACCAGUGGCGAAGGCGGGUCUCUGGACAGUACCUGACGCUGAGGCACGAAGGCCAGGGGAGCAAACGGG